rnacentral:rRNA from 1 species
UACGGAGGGAGCUAGCGUUGUUCGGAAUUACUGGGCGUAAAGCGCACGUAGGCGGAUCUUUAAGUCAGGGGUGAAAUCCUGGAGCUCAACUCCAGAACUGCCUUUGAUACUGGGGAUCUCGAGUCCGGAAGAGGUAAGUGGAACUCCGAGUGUAGAGGUGAAAUUCGUAGAUAUUCGGAAGAACACCAGUGGCGAAGGCGGCUUACUGGUCCGGUACUGACGCUGAGGUGCGAAAGCGUGGGGAGCAAACAGG